UACGGAGGGUGCGAGCGUUGUCCGGAAUCACUGGGCGUAAAGGGCGCGUAGGCGGCGCGGUUAGUCGGCGGUGAAAGCCCGAGGCUCAACUUCGGGUCGGCCGUCGAUACUGCUGCGCUGGAGCACUGUAGAGGCAGAUGGAAUUCCUGGUGUAGCGGUGAAAUGCGCAGAUAUCAGGAGGAACACCGGUGGCGAAGGCGGGUCUCUGGGCCAAUACUGACACUGAGGUGCGAAAGCGUGGGGAGCAAACAGG
rnacentral:rRNA from 1 species